GACAGAGGGUGCAAACGUUGUUCGGAAUUACUGGGCGUAAAGCGUGCGUAGGCGGUCCCGCAAGUCCGCUGUGAAAGCCCCGAGCUUAACUUGGGAACUGCAGUGGAAACUAUGGGACUUGAAUCCGGCAGAGGGGGGUGGAAUGCCACGUGUAGCAGUGAAAUGCGUAGAGAUGUGGCGGAACACCGAUGGCGAAGGCAGCCCCCUGGGCUGAGAUUGACGCUCAGGCACGAAAGCGUGGGGAGCAAACAGG
rnacentral:rRNA from 1 species